rnacentral:lncRNA from 1 species
CCCCUAUGUUCUAUUUUUAGCCAUGGCGGCCAUCUUGGUUGGUUGGGCGGGGCAUCGGACACAUUUUUUAACUAAAUACCCCAAUGAUGAUUAUGGCCAAGUUUGGUUAAAUUUGGCCCAGUAGUUUCAGAGGAGAAGAUUUUUCUAAAAGAUUACUAAGAUUUACGAAAAAUGGUUAAAAAUUGACUAUAAAGGGCAAUAACUCCUAAAGCGCUCAACUGACCAUUUUGGUCAUGUUGACUUAUUUGUAGAUCUUACUUUGCUGAACAUUAUUGCUGUUUACGGUUUAUCUCUAUCUAUAAUAAUAUUCAAGAUAAUAACC